rnacentral:rRNA from 1 species
AAUCAACGCUGGCGGCGUGCCUCAGACAUGCAAGUCGAACGCGAAAGGUUCCUUCGGGGACCGAGUAGAGUGGCGCACGGGUGAGUAACACGUAGGUAAUUUGCCUUUGGGUGGGGAAUAACAGCCGGAAACGGCUGCUAAUACCGCAUAAUGCAGCGGCUCGACAUCGAGACAGUUGUUAAAGCGGGGAUCGCAAGACCUCGCGCCUAAAGAGAAGCCUGCGGCAGAUUAGCUAGUUGGCAGGGUAAUGGCCUACCAAGGCGACGAUCUGUAACCGGCCUGAGAGGGCGGUCGGGUCACACUGACACUGACAUACGGGUCAGACUCCUACGGGAGGCAGCAGUCGGGAAUUUUGGGCAAUGGGCGAAAGCCUGACCCAGCAACGCCGCGUGAAGGAUGAAAUCCCUCGGGAUGUAAACUUCGCAAGAAUGGGAAGAAUAAGUGUGGGCUAAUACCCUCAUGAUGACGGUACCAUUUGUAAGCUCCGGCUAACUUCGUGCC